rnacentral:rRNA from 1 species
UACGUAGGCAGCGAGCGUUGUUCGGAGUUACUGGGCGUAAAGCGUGCGUAGGCGGUGUCUUAAGUUUGUUGUGAAAUCUCCCGGCUUAACCGGGAGGGUGCGGCGAAUACUGAGAUGCUGGAGUGCCGGAGAGGUAAGCGGAAUUCCUGGUGUAGCGGUGAAAUGCGUAGAUAUCAGGAGGAACACCGGCGGCGAAGGCGGCCCUCUGGAUCGUUGCUGACGCUGAUACGCGAAAGCGUGGGGAGCAAACAGG